UUGCCACAGAUUGUGCUUCACUGAGCACAGAGCCAUCUCUGGAAGAUAAAAAAGUACUAGGAGAAGAGAAAAGUUGCCAUGGGAUAUAGUCUCAGCAGAAAAUCUAAGCUAACUUCUCUGAUGCUGGAUAGACUUCCACAGUUAUCCCCGUAUAGGGUGAGAGCGCUAGGCCCUCAUGCAUGUGAUUUCAUGUGAGCUACGCUGAGUGGAGGGAAAGGUCCUGCGAGUGCUGACUUGUUUCAGAUGAACCAGUUCUUAAAAAGAUCUGACAGCUGAGGGUAGUUUGCCGCUAGGCAUCCUGGGAACUAGGCAAAUACGUCUCUCCUUCCUAACGUGGUACUUGGCAGAGCCUCAGCAUCUCCUUCUUGACGAGGUGUGUCACAGAGCAUCAGAGUGUUCUUUCUGACUGCUAAGCCAAGAUGGACAGGAUGUUUGGCUGUUUGGGUUUGGAAUGUCAGCAGGAGGAUCUGUGCUGGAGACUGGGGUUAUACAAGAAACACUGCUGACGUAAAGUGCCAUUUUAAGCAUGUCAUAUCAAGAGUACACACUAGCAAGGCUUUUACAUUUUGUUAGGAUGGAAUGGAGACUUCCAAACUCCUUACAUGCCAGACUGGAAACCAUAAGUUUUUUCACUGUAACUCUACUGAGUUAGUUGAUCUAACGGUUUUGUUUUUUGUUUUGUUUUGUUUUGUUUUGUGGGGGGAG